GCCCGGUUAUCUCAAUGGUAGAGUGUCAGACUUUUAUACCAUUGUAAAAUCUGAAUGAUUUGGUCAUCUGAAUGUUGUGGGUUCGAGCCCCACAUCGGGCG
rnacentral:tRNA from 1 species